rnacentral:rRNA from 1 species
UACAUGGGGUGCAAACGUUGCUCGGAAUUAUUGGGCGUAAAGCGCGCGUAGGCGGUUAUCUAAGUCGGAUGUGAAAGCCCUCGGCUUAACUGAGGAAGUGCACCCGAAACUGGAUAGCUAGAGUACGAAAGAGGGUCGCGGAAUUCCCGGUGUAGAGGUGAAAUUCGUAGAUAUCAGGAGGAACACCGGUGGCGAAGGCGCACAUCUGGCCCGAUACUGACGCUGAGGCGCGAAAGCUAGGGGAGCAAACGGG